rnacentral:misc_RNA from 1 species
AAUUCUCAACCCUCCUCACUUUUGUGUGAAGGGCUUGGACUUGGGGGAUUGUUACUGCUGGUCUCUUCUGAUCGGCUCCCCUUGAAUGCAUUAGCCCGGGACCUUUGCCUCCCAGCCAGUUUCACGGUGUGAUAGUCUAUCAACGCCGGUGUUAAUUGGUGUUCAGGCGUGGCAAGACAGCGGUCCGGCUCUCUAACGGACUUUUGAAGUCAACUCUUACCCA